rnacentral:lncRNA from 1 species
GCAGAAUUUCUAUCAGCAAUAUUCUAUAGUCAUGAUUAAUUGGGAGACAGCUCAUGAAGAGACUUAUAACUUUUUAAAAAAGUUUGUCAAAGUGUCAUAAAAAUUGGGUGUUGAUAUACUUAUCAGUGCUAAAUGCUGUCUAUAAUUAGAAACCAUAAUAGUUUACUAAUGAUCUCUUAGAAAAAUGUUCUUGUCUUCCUUUCUCUCUAGCACCAGUCAGAUUCUCUAGGUGGAAACCACAGGGAACCAGAUGGCAAAUUAAGGAAGCUUUACUCUGGAUUACAAAUUCCUCAGCCAGAAGCACAAAAAAACCUGAAAUUGCUUUGAACAAAGUCCUUAGAGUUGAUUUGGAAUGAGAAGAAUUGGGUUUGAGACUUUAUGCAAUAAUUUUACAGCUAAGUAACACUGGAUAAAUCUUGAAAGGUACCAAGGAGGACUCAUCAAAUAUCAUCUGAGUGAGA